CAGGUCCCCACCAGAUGGAUGCAGAGGCCACAGCUUGCCAUCGACUCCACCAGCUACCACAGUUGUGCUAGGUCUAAUCUUUACAACAAAUCUCUUGUUCUGUAUCACUCAGAGUGGCUCUACUUCUCUGAUCAAACCUGGAAGUGAAACAUCCUUCUUCCCUGGGUCCCCAGGAUACAGUGACCUUGGUCACAUGGCUGCCCCAGAGAAAUUUCUUCCUGGUGAUUGGGCAAAGUCACCAUCAAAGCAGGAAGAAACCCAGGAUUGAAGCCUGGGAACUGACUGUCCUCGCUCCUGUGCCCUGUGGAGAAUCCCAGGAUCUAACCAGCCCCAUAACCAAGAUUCGCUUAAAGCAAAGCCGCUCCAUGCAAAACAACUGAAUGAAGCCAGUUAUUUGGGUCAUCUGGACGUUUCACCUAAAGAGCAGCCAGAUCAGGUUGGCUGCCAUCCAUGUGAGCAUAAGAAGUCAGCAGACUUGGCCAAACAAAUCCUUCAGUUCAAUGUAAGCAGAAUAUA
rnacentral:lncRNA from 1 species